CUGGUUGAUCCUGCCGGCGGCCACCGCUAUAGGAAUUCGAUUAAGACAUGCGAGUCGAGAGUCUUCGGGACUCGGCGCACUGCUCAGUAACACGUGGAUAACAUGCCCUUAGGUGGAGGAUAAGCUCGGGAAACUGAGGAUAAUACUCCAUAGAUCAUGGGAGCUGGAAUGCCCCAUGGUCCAAAGUUCCGGCGCCUAAGGAUUGGUCCGCGGCCUAUCAGGUCGUAGUGGGUGUAACGGACCCACUAGCCUAUGACGGGUAUGGGCCUUGAGAGAGGGAGCCCAGAGAUGGACUCUGAGACACGAGUCCAGGCCCUACGGGGCGCGGCAGUCGCGAAAACUUCACACUGGGGGCAACCCCGAUGAGGGAAUUCCUAGUGCAUGCAUUUAAUGUAUGCUUUUCUUUAGUUUAGAAAGCUAAAGGAAUAAGGGCUGGGUAAGACGGGUGCCAGCCGCCGCGGUAAUACCCGCAGCCCAAGUGGUGGUCGAUAUUAUUGAGUCUAAAACGUUCGUAGCCUGUUCAAUAAAUCCUUGGGUAAAUCGGUGAGCUCAACUUACCGAAUUCCGAGGCGACUGUUGAACUUGGGACCGGGAGAGGCAAGAGGUACUUCUGGGGUAGGGGUAAAAUCCUGUAAUCCUAGAAGGACCACCGGUGGCGAAGGCGUCUUGCUAGAACGGAUCCGACGGUGAGGGACGAAGCCCUGGGGCGCAAACGGGAUUAGAUACCCCGGUAGUCCAGGGUGUAAACGCUGCAGGCUUGGUGUUGGAGACCCUUCGGGGGUGUUCAGUGCCGGAGAGAAGUUGUUAAGCCUGCUACUUGGGGAGUACGUCCGCAAGGAUGAAACUUAAAGGAAUUGGCGGGGGAGCACCGCAACGGGAGGAGCGUGCGGUUUAAUUGGAUUCAACGCCGGG
rnacentral:rRNA from 1 species